UACGAAGGGGGCUAGCGUUGUUCGGAAUUACUGGGCGUAAAGCGCACGUAGGCGGAUAUUUAAGUCAGGGGUGAAAUCCCAGAGCUCAACUCUGGAACUGCCUUUGAUACUGGGUAUCUUGAGUAUGGAAGAGGUGAGUGGAAUUCCGAGUGUAGAGGUGAAAUUCGUAGAUAUUCGGAGGAACACCAGUGGCGAAGGCGGCUCACUGGUCCAUUACUGACGCUGAGGUGCGAAAGCGUGGGGAG
rnacentral:rRNA from 1 species